rnacentral:rRNA from 1 species
UACGUAGGGAGCAAGCGUUGUCCGGAAUCAUUGGGCGUAAAGCGCGCGUAGGUGGCCUCGUAAGUCCGCUGUGAAAGUCAAGGGCUCAACCUUUGAAAGCCGGUGGAUACUGUGAGGCUAGAGUACGGAAGAGGCGAGUGGAAUUCCUGGUGUAGCGGUGGAAUGCGCAGAUAUCAGGAGGAACACCAAUAGCGAAGGCAGCUCGCUGGGACGUUACUGACACUGAGGCGCGAAAGCGUGGGGAGCGAACAGG